GACGAACGCUGGCGGCGUGCUUAACACAUGCAAGUCGAACGGUAAGGCCCUUCGGGGUACACGAGUGGCGAACGGGUGAGUAACACGUGGGUGAUCUGCCCUGCACUUCGGGAUAAGCCUGGGAAACUGGGUCUAAUACCGGAUAGGACCACUGCCUGCAUGGGUGGUGGUGGAAAGCUUUUGCGGUGUGGGAUGGGCCCACGGCCUAUCAGCUUGUUGGUGGGGUGAUGGCCUACCAAGGCGACGACGGGUAGCCGGCCUGGGAGGGUGACCGGCCACACUGGGACUGAGAUACGGCCCAGACUCCUACGGGAGGCAGCAGUGGGGAAUAUUGCACAAUGGGCGCAAGCCUGAUGCAGCGACGCCGCGUGAGGGAUGACGGCCUUCGGGUUGUAAACCUCUUUCAGCACCGACGAAGCGCAAGUGACGGUAGGUGCAGAAGAAGGACCGGCCAACUACGUGCCAGCCGCCGCUGUAA
rnacentral:rRNA from 1 species